AUGCAUAAUGAAAGUAAGAGGUGUGAAACUUUUGAAGUGUCAACAUCUGCCGAUCAUAAUUCUUUGAUGAAAGAUUCGAGUAUGAGCAUAUAGGGUGGGACCCGAAAGAUGGUGAACUAUGCCUGAAUAGGACGAAGCCAGGGGAAACUCUGGUGGAGGUUCGAUUGGAUUCUAACGUGCAAAUUGAUCUUUAAAUUUGGGUAUAGGGGCGAAAGACUAAUCGAACCAUCUAGUAGCUGGUUCAUUCCGAAAUUUCCCUCAGGAUAGCUGCAACUUUUGAAAUAGUUUUAUGAGGUAAAGCGAAUGAUUAGAGGUUUCUGGGAUGGAAUAUCCUGGACCUAUUCUCAAACUUUCAAUGGGUAAGAAAUCGGGGAUGUUUAAUUAAUCUCUGAGUUUGAAUAUGAGUUGCAAGUGGGCCAUUCCGGGUAAGCUGGACUGGCAAUGCGGGAUCAACCGAACGCUAUGUUACGGUGCCUUAUUAUUCGCUCAGUUCGAUGUAAAAGGUGUUAGUUCAUCUAGACAGCAGGACGGUGGCCAUGGAAGUCGGAAUCCGCUAAGGAGUGUGUAACAACUCACCUGCCGAAUGAAGUAGCCCUGAAAAUGGAUGGCGCUAAAGCGAAUAACCUAUACAUAGCCAACACAAUUAGGAUUGUAUGGUGUUGAGUAGGAAUGCGUGAUGAAUGUUGUGAAGUAUAUCGUGUGAACGAAUAUGGAACAUUCAUUAGUGCAGAUCUUGGUGGAAGUAGCAAAUAUUCAAAUGAGAUCUUUGAAGACUGAAGUGGAGAAAGGUUCCAUAGGAAUAGUGAUUAUCUAUGGGUUAGUCGAUCCUAAGAGAUAAGUGAAAUCUGUUGAAAGUAUAACAUUUGGUUAUAAGUUAUCGAAAGGGAAUCAGGUUAAUAUUCCUGAACCAAAUAGUAUAAGAAACGGUAACGUAUAUUCCUCUUGAGACAUUUCUAUUAUUCCCAGGAAGAGUUUUCUUUUCUUGUUAACAAUAUUUGAGUGCUUGGAAUUAAUUCAGUUAGCGAUAAGCAUUGAAUAUUGGUAAAGUAGUAUACUAUUGUAUAUUAUCUGGUGCAAUGAUAGGGAUCCUUGAAAAUGAAGAGGUAAAAUCUUAGAAUAUUUGGUCGUACUAAUAACCGCAUCAGGUCUCCAAGGUGAAUAGCCUCUAGUUAAUAGAAUAAUGUAGAUAAGGGAAGUCGGCAAAUUAGAUCCGUAACUUCGGGAAAAGGAUUGGCUCUGAGGGCUAAGUGGAUAUGAGUGUUAGGUAUGUGUUGGUGUAGUGUUCGUGUUGUUUUUGAUGGCUUCGGUUGUUGAGAAUGACGCUUGCAUAGCAUCUACCCAUCCUGUCACUCUCCCACUAUGAAUAGCUAACUCAGAACUGGUACGGACAAGGGGAAUCCGACUGUUUAAUUAAAACAAAGCAUUGUGAUAGUGUGAAAGAUAUAUUGACACAAUGUGAAUUCUGCCCAGUGCUCUGAAUGUCAAAGUGGCGUAAUUCAACCAAGCGCGGGUAAACGGCGGGAGUAACUAUGACUCUCUUAAGGUAGCCAAAUGCCUCGUCAUCUAAUUAGUGACGCGCAUGAAUGGAUUAAUGAGAUUCCCACUGUCCCUAUCUACUAUCUAGCGAAACCACAGCCAAGGGAACGGGCUUGGAAAAAUCAGCGGGGAAAGAAGACCCUGUUGAGCUUGACUCUAGUUUAACAUUGUGAAAUGACUUUAGAGGUGUAGCAUAGGUGGGAGAAGCAAUUCGAUCCUGAAAUACCACUACUCUGAAUGUUGUUUUA
rnacentral:rRNA from 1 species